CGCGAGUAUUCAGAGUUUGAUCCUGGCUCAGAGCGAACGCUGGCGGCAGGCUUAACACAUGCAAGUCGAACGGGCGUAGCAAUACGUCAGUGGCAGACGGGUGAGUAACGCGUGGGAACGUACCUUUUGGUUCGGAACAACACAGGGAAACUUGUGCUAAUACCGGAUAAGCCCUUACGGGGAAAGAUUUAUCGCCGAAAGAUCGGCCCGCGUCUGAUUAGCUAGUUGGUGAGGUAACGGCUCACCAAGGCGACGAGCAGUAGCUGGUCUGAGAGGAUGAUCAGCCACAUUGGGACUGAGACACGGCCCAA
rnacentral:rRNA from 1 species